rnacentral:pre_miRNA from 1 species
UUUGGACUAAAGUAUGUCCCAUGCCAUAUUGGGGAUAUACUUGUGCUAAAU